rnacentral:rRNA from 1 species
GAUGAACGCUGGCGGCGUGCCUAAUACAUGCAAGUCGAGCGAACGGACGAGAAGCUUGCUUCUCUGAUGUUAGCGGCGGACGGGUGAGUAACACGUGGAUAACCUACCUAUAAGACUGGGAUAACUUCGGGAAACCGGAGCUAAUACCGGAUAAUAUUUUGAACCGCAUGGUUCAAAAGUGAAAGACGGUCUUGCUGUCACUUAUAGAUGGAUCCGCGCUGCAUUAGCUAGUUGGUAAGGUAACGGCUUACCAAGGCAACGAUGCAUAGCCGACCUGAGAGGGCGAUCGGCCACACUGGAACUGAGACACGGUCCAGACUCCUACGGGAGGCAGCAGUAGGGAAUCUUCCGCAACGGGCGAAAGCCUGACGGAGCAACGCCGCGUGAGUGAUGAAGGUCUUCGGAUCGUAAAACUCUGUUAUUAGGGAAGAACAUAUGUGUAAGUAACUGUGCACAUCUUGACGGUACCUAAUCAGAAAGCCACGGCUAACUACGUG